UCUUUCUUUUCUGCUGCUCUUGUUAUCAGGAGCAGUGCUGCUGCAUGCUUCUGCAAUUGGCACUGGCAUGCUAAGUACCAAGUUUCGCUUGCUGUUGUGACUGAUCAACAUCUCAUGUCGUUUCAGUUGGCGAAACAAAGGCUUGUGUGUUCCAACACUUCCUAGCAUGAAGUCAGACAAGUGAACCCGCCGAAUUUAAGCAUAUAAGUAAGCGGAGGAAAAGGAACUAAACAGG
rnacentral:misc_RNA from 1 species